GGGCAAAGUCCGGACGCCCCGCAAGGGGAGUGGCAGACGGGUGAGUAACGCGUGGCCAUCUUGCCCUUCGGUUCGGAAUAACCCAGGGAAACUUGGGCUAAUACCGGAUACGUCCGUAAGGAGAAAGAUUUAUCGCCGAAGGAUCGGCCCGCGUCGGAUUAGCUAGUUGGUGGGGUAAUGGCCUACCAAGGCGACGAUCCGUAGCUGGUCUGAGAGGAUGAUCAGCCACACUGGGACUGAGACACGGCCCAGACUCCUACGGGAGGCAGCAGUGGGGAAUAUUGGACAAUGGGCGAAAGCCUAAUCCAGCCAUGCCGCGUGAGUGAAGAAGGCCUUAGGGUUGUAAAGCUCUUUCAGCGGGGAAGAUAAUGACGGUACCCGCAGAAGAAGCCCCGGCUAACUUCGUGCCAGCAGCCGCGG
rnacentral:rRNA from 1 species